ACAUGUGGGUAUCUUCCCUUUGGUGAGGAAUAACACGAGGAAACUUGUGCUAAUACCUCAUAAGUCUUUACGGAGAAAGCUUUAUGCGCCAAUGGAUGAGCCCGCACUUGAUUAGUUAGUUGGCAGGGUAAUGGCCUACCAAGACUUUGAUCAAUAGCUGAUUUGAGAGGAUGAUCAGCCACAUUGGGACUGAGACACGGCCCAAACUUCUACGGGAGGCAGCAGUAGGGAAUCUUGCACAAUGGAGGAAACUCUGAUGCAGCGAUGCCGCGUGAGUGAAGAAGGCCUUUGGGUUGUAAAGCUCUUUCGUCGGGGAAGAAAAUGACUGUACCCGAAUAAGAAGGUCCGG
rnacentral:rRNA from 1 species